ACGGGAGGCAGCAGUGGGGAAUAUUGGGCAAUGGGCGAAAGCCUGACCCAGCGACGCCGCGUGAGGGAAGACGGUCUUCGGAUUGUAAACCUUAGUCAACAGGGAAGAAACAAAUGACGGUACCUGUGGAGGAAGCCACGGCUAACUACGUGCCAGCAGCCGCGGUAAUACGUAGGUGGCAAGCGUUAUCCGGAAUUACUGGGUGUAAAGGGUGUGUAGGCGGGAAGGCAAGUCAGAUGUGAAAAUUAUGGGCUCAACCCAUAACCUGCAUUUGAAACUGUUUUUCUUGAGGGACGGAGAGGUAAACGGAAUUCCCAGUGUAGCGGUGAAAUGCGUAGAUAUUGGGAGGAACACCAGUGGCGAAGGCGGUUUACUGGACGUCAACUGACGCUGAGACACGAAAGCGUGGGGAGCAAACAGGAUUAGAUACCCUGGUA
rnacentral:rRNA from 1 species